rnacentral:rRNA from 1 species
GAUGAACGCUAGCGGCAGGCCUAAUACAUGCAAGUCGAACGGUGUCUUCGGACAUAGUGGCGCACGGGUGCGUAACACGUAUGCAACCUACCUUACAUUGGGGGAUAGCCUUUCGAAAGGGAGAUUAAUACCGCAUAAGACAGUAACUGGGCAUCCAGUAGCUGUUAAAGAUUUAUCGAUGUAAGAUGGGCAUGCGACCAAUUAGUUAGUUGGCGAGGUAAUGGCUCACCAAGACUAUGAUUGGUAGGGGAACUGAGAGGUCAAUCCCCCACACUGGCACUGAGAUACGGGCCAGACUCCUACGGGAGGCAGCAGUAGGGAAUAUUGGGCAAUGGACGCAAGUCUGACCCAGCCAUGCCGCGUGCAGGAUGAAGGCGUUAUGCGUCGUAAACUGCUUUUAUACAGGAAGAAACGACUCUUGCGAGAGGCAUUGACGGUACUGUAUGAAUAAGCACCGGCUAACUCCGUGCCAGCAGCCGCGGUAAUACGGAGGGUGCAAGCGUUGUCCGGAUUUAUUGGGUUUAAAGGGUGCGCAGGUGGUUUAUUAAGUCAGUGGUGAAAGACGGUCGCUCAACGAUUGCAGUGCCAUUGAAACUAGUAGACUUGAGUAAAGUAGAGGUGGGCGGAAUUGAUAGUGUAGCGGUGAAAUGCAUAGAUAUUAUCAAGAACUCCAAUUGCGUAGGCAGCUCACUUGGCUUUUACUGACACUCAUGCACGAAAGUGUGGGUAUCAAACAGGAUUAGAUACCCUGGUAGUCCACACUGUAAACGAUGAUAACUAGGUGUCGGCCGAAUCUGGUCGGUGCCACAGCGAAAGCGUUAAGUUAUCCACCUGGGGAGUACGCCGGCAACGGUG